GUUCCGUUCUCGUAUGGCAGCAGACACACAGGUGGAGCUGGAAGUGGUGUUCAAUGAGACCGCCAUUGCAACUAUCGCUCAUGCAACUAUGCCCAAGGACAUUGACAUUAAAGACACACUGAAAGAGGCUGUGACCAAUCCAAACUCUACCUUCAACCUCUCUGUGGUUCCAAACUCCAUCACUAUUAUCAGGACCCCAAUUAUAACCACAAAUUUCACAACAAAUACAGUGGCUACUCCUAUCAUCAUCAUAACCGAUAUGAACACAAUGACUGCCCCUACCACCACAACUGCUGUGACCACAAUGACCACGCCAACCACCACAAGCGCUCCAUCCACCACAACCGUUGCAGCCACCAUUACACUUACUACAGUGCCUGUGGAGUUCACUUCUAGAGAGACAUUUACCUCCGACCUAUCAAACUCAUCCUCUCAGGCCUUUCAAACUCGAGCAUCACUGAUUAAAACACAGCUUGAACCUUUCUAUCAAUCAGCUUUCACAUCAUUCAACAGUUUGACAGUGACCGAAUUCAGAAAUGGAUCAAUCAUCAACACUAUGAAUUUAGCAUUUAGAUCUUCUGUCCUCAAUUCCACGAAGAUUGGGACCAUUUUAAUAAAUUCUGCACAGAAAAUCACAGCUUUCAACAUUGUCACCACCACAAUUAAGGUCAAUGGCACAGGUGGUCCUACAUCUGCUGUUCCUACUACAACUACUGAGGCUGGCACAACCAUCACAAAACCAACUGGAAAACCUGCCACUGUUCCUGUGACUGGGCCUGCAACUACAACAACAUUUGUGGCCCCCACAACUACAGUUUCAAGCACAGAAUCAACAUUAACCAUGAAGACUACCAGGACAACCACUACCUUAACACCAACUACAACAACAACAACAACGCCAAUAACAACCAAAACAACUACACAUCCUGUCGUGUUUACAUUAAAACUCACAAUUGAAGUUUUAUAUGUACCAGCAUUGACCAACACUGAAAGCACAGAAUUUCAAACACUUGCACUAACCAUUACUUCAGAGUGUGAUGAGAUCUACCAAUCAAAAUAUGGGAUCAUUUUCAUCCAGACGAUCGUCAUUGCAUUCUUACCUGUGUCCCGACGUUCCCUUAUGCCAGCAGAAACACAGGUGGAAAUGGAAGUGGUAUUCCAACAGAUCUCCGCAGAAUCUAGGAUGAGUAAUGACAUUGAAAAUACACUGAAAGAGGCUGUGACCAAUCCAAACUCCAACUUCAAUGUCUCUGUGUAUCCGGACUCCAUCACUGUUAUUAGGGUCCCAAAUACAUCCACAGGUGCCACCACAAUUACACCGGCUACUCCUGUCAUCACAACUGUUGUCCCAGCUGCUCCAACCACUACAACGGCUGCUGCCACCACAACCUCUGUGGCCACAAAUACACUCACUACAGUGUCUGUGGAGUUCACGUCCAAAGGAGAGACAUUUAUCUCCGACCUAUCAACCUCAUCCUCUCAGGCCUUUCAAACUCGAACAUCACUGAUUAAAACACAGCUUGAACCUUUCUAUCGAUCAGCUUUCGCCUCUUUCAACAGUUUGACAGUAAUAAAAUUCAGAAAUGGAUCAAUCAUUAACACCAUGAAUUUAGCAUUUAGCUCCUCCGCUGUGCCAAAUUCCAAGGAAAUUGGCACCGUUUUGAUAAAGGCUGCACAAAACAUCACAGCUUUCAACAUCAACCCCACGUCAGUUACUGUCAGCGGUGAAGUUGUGACCUCAAGUGGUAUAAGCAGCAAGACCAGUCUCUUCACUGCUUCCUGUCUGGUGGUGUUGUCGCUGCUGCUGUCAAGCUAGUCUCAGCAGCAAGCAGCAGUAUGAAAUAUCUUAACUUUGAAAAUGUAUUUACCUCAUGUCCCC
ensembl:lncRNA